CCGAACUUUACGAAUGAAUCUUUAUUCUUCAAUUUGAAUCUUUUCUUCAAAAACUUCCGCGAUCAACUCUUCAAGACUCCAUUCAACAUUACGAAAUUCGCCAAUCUAUAAAAUCCUUAACAAGAACCAACUCCAUGGUUCCCAGUGGGUACGGCCACCCAAGGAAAAAGCUCGACCAAUAGGUCCAAGGGAGGCAACUGCAACAAGUUAGUCCAAUAACAUAUAACAAAUAUUUAUACAUUUACUCGAUAUUGAAC
rnacentral:lncRNA from 1 species